ensembl:lncRNA
GGGGGAGUGUCAUUAUUGCCCCCGUGGUUCUACUGGCUCUGGUGGAAGGCUACUCGCUCUGAAAGGAGGGAUGCGAGGAGGAGAGGUCAGGCGGAAAAAGAGGAACCCGGUGGAUGUCCGUGGAUAGCAAAACCCCUCAGGCUCCCUGACAGACUGAUAUGUCAUUGGACCAAUGGGGUGUUGAUAAUGCAGGCGCAGAGGUUGGCCAGGUGAGAUGUAAGACCCGCCCACUGUGUGUCCUACUUCACCUGCAGAGGAACAGGAAUCUGUAGAAAAAAAGACCCCAACAAUUUUGCUGAAACAAAUCAACUGAAGUGAUUUUAACAAAAUGGCGGAAAAUUGAACAAAUGGGUACUGGUAGUGAAUGCCACUACAAACCACCUCAGCCUUCCCCUUGAGAGAGGAUUGCAUCUCCUGCUGAUUUCUUGACAUCUGGCAGAUUAUUUUCUUAGAUCUCAUGUAUUUGGUACAUUGCAAUCAACCCCAGGUCUCCUGCUGACUCACCAACCCAUUAGACCAAGAGGACUUCCAGGUCUCCUGCUGACUCACCAACCCAUUAGACCAAGAGGACAUCCAUGUCUCCUGCUGACUCACCAACCCAUUAGACCAAGAGGACAUCCAUGUCUCCUGCUGACUCACCAACCCAUUAGACCAAGAGGACAUCCAUGUCUCCUGCUGACUCACCAACCCAUUAGACCAAGAGGACAUCCUGGUCUCCUGUUGACUCACCAACCCAUUAG